GCCACAUGAUGAAUUAAUUAGAUUGCAUUAGCACAUAGUGCAAAGAUGACUACCUAUCUAUCACCCAUGUCUGAUGGCU